CCUACGGGUGGCAGCAGUAGGGAAUCUUCCACAAUGGACGAAAGCCUGAUGGAGCAACGCCGCGUGAGUGAAGAAGGGUUUCGGCUUGUAAAGCUCUGUCGGCAGUGAAGAAAGAUAGAGGUAGUAACUGGCCUUUAUUUGACGGUAAUUACUUAGAAAGUCCCGGCUAACUACGUGCCAGCAGCCGCGGUAAUACGUAGGUGGCAAGCGUUGUCCGGAUUUAUUGGGCGUAAAGCGAGUGCAGGCGGUUCAAUAAGUCUGAUGUGAAAGCCUUCGGCUCAACCGGAGAAGUGCAUCAGAAACUGUUGGGCUUGAGUGCAGAAGAGGAGAGUAGAACUCCAUGUGUAGCGGUGGAAUGCGUAGAUAUAUGGAGGAACACCAGUGGCGAAGGCGGCUCUCUGGUCGGCGACUGACGCUGAGGCUCGAAAGCAUGGGUAGCAAACAGGAUUAGAUACCCGGGUAGUC
rnacentral:rRNA from 1 species